CUUCCCUGUAACCAAAGAGGGUAUUGUUACAGAAUUUGAGCUUUCUUAAGGUGUCUUGCAUUAAUUUUUACUUUUAAGUGUCUGAGUUGUGAAUUGUGUAGUCGAAUUCCUGGUCAGAAACACCAGAAGAGGAGACUUGCUCAGAUAUGGUGUGUGGUGUCUUUAAUACUGUAAUGCAGAAGCAUACCUCCACAAAAUAGAGUGGUUUUAGUGAGUGUUGUGGUUUUAUUCACAUCUUAUUUAAUGCUUUUCUACCCUUGGUCAUAUGUUGAGUUUUCUAUGAGUAAAUCAUUCCUCUGUUUUUGUGUUGCAUUUUCAUAUAUUUUUGCUUAUGUCUAACUUUGACCUCCUUAGAAUGAAGAUGAGUUUUGGCCUUUGCAGUCUUAAGUGAUGGAUGGGUUUGAUACAUCACUAGAGUCAACCAUUUCUUUGUCCUUGACAAAUCCCAGCAGAAGUCCUCUUUCACCUACCUGGCAGGUCUGCUGCACGCUUGCUCCAUGCCAUGCCUUGAAUGUUGCACCCCAUUUCCACUGUCUGCACUUGCCAAGCCCGUGAGGAGGAGGCAGUGAUGAAAGGGGAGGAGGAAAUGAGAUUUAAAACUUUGUUCCAGAGACAAGAGACUUCUCUCAGCCUCACAUCCCAGGAGGGUCUGUGCUUCAUAGGUUUGACUUGUAAUUUAGCCAAUAUCCCAAGUUUGCUGUAAGAUUUAGAGCACUAAGGCUCUGGUCCUGCUGGUUUGCAGGCUCUCCCAUGUUUGCAGCCUGUCUUUGGUCCCUUUCUUGUCACCCUGCCCUUUGCUUUUUCUUUUUUGCUCAGAUCUCUCAAGGCUCGAUGUGCUUUGGUGUGAGCCCUUCCAGCUCUACACAGAGAAGGCUGCUGGUGCUGAGCUACUUUAAUUGACUUGCAUCUUUGGUUAUCUCAAUCCCAUAAAGUGUGGAUUUGCAAUGAAAGUACUGGGGAUACUUCAAGCCAUAAUCAAAUCUCAUAGUGGUGGAGUGCAACACAAGAGCUAGGGCUAUCUAGAUCUGUGUGUGUGGUACAUUCAGUGGCAGUCAGUGUCAGUGGGACUGGGUAAAAGAAAUAGGAUGGAUUCUCCCAGCUGCUGUUUCCUUUUGUCCCAAUGGGAGAAGAUGAGGGUUGGAGGCCCAAGAGGAGUCAGGUAGGAACUGAGUCAGUCAUGGGUAGGAGCCUUUGUGCAUGCCCUUACUGGUAAAAGGAGGCAGAUUUCCCUCCAGGAUAAGGGCAGAAGCCUGUUUGGAAUUGCUGUUGGCUGGUCCUGAUGGGGAAAGGAGAAGGCAAAUACUACUGACUUGGCUGGUACUGCUCAAGCCAGGAAGCAGUUCAAAGAAAUAAGCUUCUGAUUCAACCUUUGGAAACUUGACCUUGUGGAAUGUGGACCCUGAAGGGAAGGAAGUGUGAGGCAUUCCCUGGGCACACUGCAGCAGACAUUUGAUGAGCAAAACAAGCUGGGCCUGCUAGGACAUCUGGUUUGAAGGCUGAGGUUUGUCGUUUCACUUGGACUAGGAUCCUGGCUGUAGGUAGAGAGGCAAACCCCUGCUGUGGCUCCUUGCUUUGUCAGACAAUUACUGUGGGGUAUGUGGAGUGGAGCUUUCUGGCUUGUCAUUAAUGCUCCCCUGUGCCUUGAUGUGCUGCAGAUACUGUAGAGCUUUUCUCCUUGAUGCUUUCUACAUGUAUUCAGCCUCCAUCUUCUGAGUAACAAAGUGUGCCCUUGGCUGGGAAGGAUAAACAGAAGCAAAUGGAUUAGUGUAGCAUAGACCAGCAGAAGUGGCCAGCUCCUGGGGUCAGCCUGAGCCAGGCUCUCUUUAGAGACAGGAAUGCUCCAGUGCUGCAAAAUAAACCACUAAUCUGCCUUGACAAAAAGAGAAUUUAUUAGCAGUGAAGAGUCUUUGCUCUUGGAAGCACAGGCUGUGAUGAGGAGAGGCUGACUAACUGCUCAGUGUGCGAUAAGCUGGUUCAGAUGAGGCUGCUCUCGAGACACCAAAGAGAUCAGCUUGUAGUCAGAUAUUUCAGCCACUUAGUCUGAUCCUUUUUGGCUUAGGCCUUGCUCUUCUGUCAGAGAAACUUGAAGAGUUCUUGGCCUGAAGCUUGUCUUGCUUUCUGGAGCACAGAUGUAGAAUUCCCUCUGUAGUGACUAAAGAGCUGCAAGACCUGAGGGCUCGGAGCCAGCCAGUGUGGAGCUGGCACCUGGGAACUCACAUUGCUGCAUUACUGUAAUCCAAAGCAUAUUCUGUUGUGCUGGAGUAUCUUAGACCAUUAGUGUAGUACACUUUAAUGGGCUGUGUCUAAUGUUUCUCUGUCUCUGGCAGCAUGAGCUUUUUCUUUUCCAGGGUUCUCUAAACUGCUUUUAAUAGGAGGUCUUGGAUCUGUGGCCUGAAUUCAGCUCUUCUGUGGGACUUCCUUCCAGGGCAGCCCUGAGUUGUGCUGCAGUCCCUGGCUGUUGCUUUGCCACCAUUUGUUCCAGCAUUGCCUUUUUCAUGUAUAAGCUUUUGUUGCCUGCAUGGAUUUACAAGCUCUUUCUCCUGUUUAACAGCAGCAGCGUGAACCACAAGGAACACACAACUCUUCUAGGUGUGUUUGAGCUCUUUCACAACUACCCUAAUUACGAACUAACUUCUGAAGCUUCAUAGACUUUCUGUGCAGUCUUUGCAAUGGCUGAGAAGUCUGUUGUCAUCUCAGACUUGUGUGUGUAUGUAGGUGAAUGUCUUUACUUUUCGGCUAACAGCAGUGGGAUAACCACGCAUCUUGUCCAGCUUUUUUUCCACCUGGAGGGAGUGGAAAUCUUUAUCCCAAUCUAAAUAUUGAAGUCCAUAGCAUUGGCAGAUAGAACCUUCCUGAAAAGCAAGUAUUACCUGUGUAAAUACUCAUUUAGAGACCUGGCUUUAAGUAUUGAAGGUCAGUGUUGAGUUCACAUGAAGUGUGUUGCUCUGGAAGACCUCAGUGUCACUGGUGCUUCCAAAAUGAGCCAGAAGUUGUCUUCUAAUUCAUCUCUCACCUUUACAGUUUGAAACCUGCUCUCAAUCAAAACCUGUCUUGCUAAAACCAUUUCUUCAUGCUUUUGUCUUCAAGUAUGGAGGGUUUUUCCUGCCAUCUUGUAACAAGCUUUCCAGUAUUUCAGGACUUGUCCUCAGAGUCUUCCCUGCUGCAAACCACUCCAGUUCCAUCAGCCUUUCCCUUUAUUGUAGAGUGUAUCUGUUUCAUCUGAGCAAGAAACGAAUCUUCUGCUAUGGUUUGACCUGGACAACGUGCUGAAGGUGCAUUGGUGGGUACUGCUUAAAAGGGCCUGGUGAGGUUUUGAAC